rnacentral:rRNA from 1 species
AACGAACGCUGGCGGCAGGCUUAACACAUGCAAGUCGAACGCCCCGCAAGGGUAGUGGCAGACGGGUGAGUAACACGUGGGAACCUUCCUAGAGGUACGGAACAACUCAGGGAAACUUGAGCUAAUACCGUAUACGCCCUUGCGAGGAAAGAUUUAUCGCCUUUAGACGGGCCCGCGUCGGAUUAGCUAGUUGGUGGGGUAACGGCCUACCAAGGCGACGAUCCGUAGCUGAUCUGGUAGGAUGAUCAGCCACACUGGGACUGAGACACGGCCCAGACUCCGACGUGACGCAGCAGUGGUGAAUCUUGGACAAUGGGCGCAAGCCUGAUCCAGACAUGCCGCGUGAGUGAAGAAGGCCUUCGGGUUGUAAAGCUCUUUUGUCAGGGACGAUAAUGACGGUACCUGAAGAAUAAGCCCCGGCAAACUUCGUGCCAGCCGCCGCCGUAACAC